ensembl:lncRNA LOC102553625 uncharacterized LOC102553625
AGCUCUGUCUGAUACUGGAAAAGCACACUGAUCAGAUCAGCAGAUCAGAUCACGGAUUAAGGUCAGUUCUCUACUGAACAUGACAGAAGGUGAGGAGAAUAAAGUCAGAGGAUAAAGCUAUUGCAACUAAUGAAUUACAAAAUUAGCAUGGAGCAGUCACAGUGACAACGAUGCGAAGCCCUACUGUCAACAAAAUGUGUCUGUUAAAGAAGUAGUGCACGGAGAAAAAGAAGAAAUUAGAUAUUCUGACAGUGAAGACCGAACAUUCCCCAAAGAACUCUACAUCCCCUAAAGAGCAAGAAGUAGUUUUUUUUCUGAUCUAGUGUUUGGAUUUUUGAAGGAGUAGAAAGGGGGUGAAGAAGGGUGGAAGAUAAAAGAACCACACAAUGGGCAAAGUCUGGUUACAGAUUAUAACUUGGAAGUUUACGCUUUCAUCAAAUUAUAAAGCAUAAGAAUUUUUAUUUUUCUGUGAAGGGAAAUCAAGUCCCCAUAAAUCUGAUCUAUACAUGUAUUUCUAAUAUUCGCAAGUUUCAGCUGACUGUCAUGGAAUCACAUCUCAGGAAGUUCAUUUUUCAGCAGCACACAGAAUAUAUUCAACUUAGUAUUAGAAAUUUUUUAUUACUUCUGCUCCCAUCUAUACACAUUUUUAAGAGUAUGAAGAAUGGAUAACAAUAGAG